rnacentral:sRNA from 1 species
UGGAUAUGUUUGCAACCUACAUAUAUGC